rnacentral:rRNA from 1 species
AACGAACGCUGGCGGCAUGCCUAACACAUGCAAGUCGAACGAGACCUUCGGGUCUAGUGGCGCACGGGUGCGUAACGCGUGGGAACCUGCCCUUAGGUUCGGAAUCACUCCCCGAAAGGGGUGCUAAUACCGGAUAAUGUCUUCGGACCAAAGAUUUAUCGCCUUGGGAUGGGCCCGCGUUGGAUUAGCUAGUUGGUAGGGUAAAAGCUUACCAAGGCGACGAUCCAUAGCUGGUCUGAGAGGAUGAUCAGCCACACUGGGACUGAGACACGGCCCAGACUCCUACGGGAGGCAGCAGUGGGGGAUAUUGGACAAUGGGCGAAAGCCUGAUCCAGCAAUGCCGCGUGAGUGAUGAAGGCCUUAGGGUUGUAAAGCUCUUUUACCCGGGAUGAUAAUGACAGUACCGGGAGAAUAAGCACCGGCUAACUCCGUG